rnacentral:rRNA from 1 species
UACGAAGGGGGCUAGCGUUGCUCGGAAUUACUGGGCGUAAAGCGCACGUAGGCGGAUUGUUAAGUCGGGGGUGAAAUCCUGGAGCUCAACUCCAGAACUGCCUUCGAUACUGGCGAUCUCGAGUUCGGGAGAGGUAAGUGGAACUGCGAGUGUAGAGGUGAAAUUCGUAGAUAUUCGCAAGAACACCAGUGGCGAAGGCGGCUCACUGGCCCGAUACUGACGCUGAGGUGCGAAAGCGUGGGGAGCAAACAGG